rnacentral:tRNA from 2 species
GGAAUGAGGUCUCAGAAAAUGUAGAGCACAACCUUGCCAAGGUUGGGGUCGCGAGUUCGAGUCUCGUUUUCCG